rnacentral:rRNA from 1 species
AGAGUUUGAUCCUGGCUCAGGAUGAACGCUGGCGGCGUGCUUAAUACAUGCAAGUCGAACGAGAGGAAGGAAAGCUUGCUUUUCUGAAUCUAGUGGCGAACGGGUGAGUAACACGUAGGUAACCUGCCCAUGUGCCCGGGAUAACUUCUGGAAACGGAUGCUAAAACCGGAUAGGUAGCAGACAAGCAUUUGACUGCUAUUAAAGUGGCUAAGGCCAUGAGCAUGGAUGGACCUGCGGUGCAUUAGCUAGUUGGUGAGGUAACGGCCCACCAAGGCGACGAUGCAUAGCCGGCCUGAGAGGGCGGACGGCCACAUUGGGACUGAGACACGGCCCAAACUCCUACGGGAGGCAGCAGUAGGGAAUUUUCGUCAAUGGGGGGAACCCUGAACGAGCAAUGCCGCGUGAGUGAGGAAGGUCUUCGGAUCGUAAAGCUCUGUUGUAAGAGAAAAACGACAUUCAUAGGGAAUGAUGAGUGAGUGAUGGUAUCUUACCAGAAAGUCACGGCUAACUACGUGCCAGCAGCCGCGGUAAUACGUAGGUGGCGAGCGUUAUCCGGAAUGAUUGGGCGUAAAGGGUGCGUAGGUGGCAGAACAAGUCUGGAGUAAAAGGUAUGGGCUCAACCCGUACUGGCUCUGGAAACUGUUCAGCUAGAGAACAGAAGAGGACGGGGGAACUCCAUGUGUAGCGGUAAAAUGCGUAGAUAUAUGGAAGAACACCGGUGGCGAAGGCGGCCGUCUGGUCUGUUGCUGACACUGAAGCACGAAAGCGUGGGGAGCAAAUAGGAUUAGAUACCCUAGUAGUCCACGCCGUAAACGAUG